rfam:Strigamia maritima strain Brora ctg7180001224382, whole genome shotgun sequence.
UCCCAGGUAGCUUAAUGGUAAAGCAUCCAACCGGCAAUUGGGGGAUCUGGGUUCAAGUCCCAGUCUAGGCU